AAAGAUUAAGCCCAUGCAUGUCUAAGUACAAGCACUUGUAUUGUGAAACUGCGAAUGGCUCAUUAUAUCAGUUAUAGUUUUCAUAACAAACCUUACUAUAUGGAUAACCGUAGUAAUUCUAGAGCUAAUACAUGUUUACACGCCUUCCGGGGCCGUAUUUAUUAGGUUCAAACUAACGCCGUAAGGCAGUUUGGUGAGUCAUAAUAACUGUUCAUAUCGUUUACGAUAGGUUAUUAAAGUUUCUGCCCUAUCAGCUGUCGAUGGUAGGGUAUUGGCCUACCAUGGCUUUAACGGGUAACGGGGAAUUAGGGUUCGAUUCCGGAGAGGGAGCCUGAGAGAUGGCUACCACAUCCAAGGAAGGCAGCAGGCGCGUAAAUUACCCAAUCCCAACACGGGGAGGUAGUGACAAGAAAUAACAAAACGGGGCCUUUUGGUCUUGUAUUUGUAAUGAGUACAAUUUAAACCCAUUAACAAGGAUCAAUUGGAGGGCAAGUCUGGUGCCAGCAGCCGCGGUAAUUCCAGCUCCAAUAGCGUAUAUUAAUGUUGUUGCAGUUAAAAAGCUCGUAGUUGAAUAUCUGGUAAGACCAAGGCUGAUCUUUCAGUCCUUGGUUUGCCAUCCUCGCAGAGGCGUUGUCGGUCAUUAAUUUGGCUGGCAUCGAAUCUGUGUCGUUUACUGUGAACAAAUUAGGGUGUUUAAAGCAGGCAUUAGCUUGAAUACAUUAGCAUGGAAUAAUAAGAUAUGACUUCGGGUAUAUUUUGUUGGUUUGCAAGCCGAAGUAAUGAUUAAUAGGAUCAGUUGUGGAUAUUCGUAUGAGCAUGUCAGAGGUGAAAUUCUUGGAUUUUGAUCAGACGAACUACUGCGAAAGCAUUUAUCAAGGAUGUUUUCAUUAAUCAAGAACGAAAGUUAGGGGAUCGAAGAUGAUUAGAUACCAUCGUAGUCUUAACCAUAAACUAUGCCAACUAGGGGUUGGUAAAAAUGUAUUGAAUUUUAUCAGUACCUCAUGAGAAAUCAAAGUUUUGGGUUCUGGGGGGAGUAUGGUCNCAAGACUGAA
rnacentral:rRNA from 1 species